AUUGAACGCUGGCGGAAUGCUUUACACAUGCAAGUCGAACGGCAGCACGGGUGCUUGCACCUGGUGGCGAGUGGCGAACGGGUGAGUAAUAUAUCGGAACGUACCUAGUAAUGGGGGAUAACUAGUCGAAAGAUUAGCUAAUACCGCAUACGCCCUGAGGGGGAAAGCGGGGAUCGUAAGACCUCGCGUUAUUAGAGCGGCCGAUAUCUGAUUAGCUAGUUGGUGGGGUAAAGGCCCACCAAGGCGACGAUCAGUAGCUGGUCUGAGAGGACGACCAGCCACACUGGAACUGAGACACGGUCCAGACUCCUACGGGAGGCAGCAGUGGGGAAUUUUGGACAAUGGGCGCAAGCCUGAUCCAGCCAUUCCGCGUGAGUGAAGAAGGCCUCGGGUUGUAAAGCUCUUUCGCAAGGGAAGAAACGAUAUAGACGAAUAAUCUAUGUUAAUGACGGUACCUUGAUAAGAAGCACCGGCUAACUACGUGCCAGCAGCCGCGGUAAUACGUAGGGUGCGAGCGUUAAUCGGAAUUACUGGGCGUAAAGCGUGCGCAGGCGGUUUUGUAAGUCAGAUGUGAAAUCCCCGGGCUCAACCUGGGAACUGCGUUUGAAACUACAAGGCUAGAGUAUAGGAGAGGGGGGUAGAAUCCCACGUGUAGCAGUGAAAUGCGUAGAGAUGUGGAGGAAUACCAAUGGCGAAGGCAGCCCCUGGCCUAAUACUGACGCUCAUGCACGAAAGCGUGGGGAGCAAACAGGAUUAG
rnacentral:rRNA from 1 species